CCCAGCUGUAGGCAACGGGCUUAGGUUGCAUUGUACCUCGUAAGUGUUACACUGCUGGGAGAAAAGCAGCUAAUAGCUGAUGAUCACCCUGGGCCUGGUUAAUGCCAAAUUUGUGUUAAUGAU
ensembl:snoRNA SNORA74 Small nucleolar RNA SNORA74